UAAAUGACUCUCGGCAACGGAUAUCUCGGCUCUCGCAUCGAUGAAGAACGUAGCGAAAUGCGAUACUUGGUGUGAAUUGCAGAAUCCCGUGAACCAUCGAGUUUUUGAACGCAAGUUGCGCCCGAAGCCAUCUGGUUGAGGGCACGUCUGCCUGGGCGUCACGU
rnacentral:rRNA from 1 species